rnacentral:sRNA from 1 species
CCCAGCGCUCACGCGCCGGGCUUUAUGCUAUCGCCGUCUUCGACGGCU